ensembl:lncRNA
AUGAAACCGGCAGAGCAAAGAUCCUGGAGCAGAAGCCCAAAAAGCAUUGAAGAAGAGAAGCAGCAGGAUGGGGCUUCCAGAGGUGUUUUUAAUGUGCAACCAGCCAUGAGAGGACUCCUCCAGAAAAAAAAAAUUAAAGGUUACUUCCUCAUACCUGCAUUUCCGCAGCUGGGGAAGCAAAAACUAGAAAUUUGGUCUCUGGUACUGGGUCACUUUCACCCCAUUUCACACUCUACAGACCAAACCUGUCUGCAGCUUGUGGAGGCAGGGAGGUCUAAGAAAGGGGCGGGAAUCACUUGCAAGUAUAAGCAAAUCAGACACCCCUGUGCUACCAAAAUGGGCAAAGGGAAAACUCAGCAUUUUGACUGGGAUUUCAUUCCAGCCAAGCAGCUCUCUUCUACUUUCGUUGUGUAUGGUUGGCACCAGGUAAGGAUAUCCAAAGAAAACACUAGGGAAAUACUGUGAUAUUGCCACAGCUGUGCCUCAAUCAGGGGGAAAAAUUGCCUGAGGCUUCCCCUUCUCUUCAACGCUUCUUUGGCACUUUAUUUUCCUGUUUGAAAACAAAUAAAACUGAAAAAGUUUCAGGAUGAUUUUCUGCAAUUACACAAUCUUUUCCCUCCUUUCCCCCAACCAAAAUCCUGCAAAACGGCAGCACUUUAUUUUCCAGCCAGAGCAACUGGACGUUCCCCAGGAGGUAAGGCUCCCCCUGGAGCUGCCGGCCUGCAAGAAACUCAAAAACCACUUGACAUCUGCGCUUAAGCGUUGUGUUUUUCUGCUGCGAUUCCAGAAGCCUCUUGAAGAUUUUAUGUUUGUAUUUUCUCCUUUUUCUGGCUUCAUGCGCUCCUAUGUAAAUGAAGUUCCUCCAGUAGGAAAGAAUGGCGCCUUUGGAGCAGUUGCUGAUUUCAUACACAUUUGCUCCCAUUUAGAGUAACUUUGCCUAUAGCAGCAUUCUGUGCUGCUACAAGGAAAUCUAGAACAAUUUAAGAAGAAGCCCUUUUAAAAAUCAAUUCCAAUAAAGGACAAAGCAAAUAUAAGCGAAGCCAUACACACUCAUCUGAGAAAUAUUGCUGCCAUAUUUCUGAAUGUUAUUAAAUUUUACUUAUUUCAGUCUUGCGUUAUCUAGUUAUGAAAUAUGCAACAUUUUCCCUGCUAAAUCUUUUCUAAUGCAGGCACUUCAGGUUUGACUACCUCAUCCAUUUUUUGUAUUAUGUUUUUGCAUUUACCUUUAAGUACUAAUGAAACUCCAUACUACACCCAUCCCAGACCGCCCCCCCCCACCACCACAUAGAAAAUUUUUAAAAUAAAAUAAAGCAGUAAAAUUCAGGAAAGUUGCAGCCAAGAAAAUUUCUCAUUGGUUCUGUCUUCUCCAAGACCGAGCAAGGCAGGCAAUAAAGAAGUAUGACUGGGGCAAAGGAAAAUUAAGAAUACUGAAAACUGCCUUAUUUAAAAGUUUAUAUUUUGUGAGUUGUAAAAUGUUUGCAUUAAUUUUGAAUAUUGCAUUAAAAUAUUAUUUAUCUUGUUUAUGGAGUUUUUUGGAAUGCCUUUAAUUUUGUGCCUGAAUCCCAGUCUUGGUUGUCCUUGAAGGAAAAGGAACCAGUCACAUAGACUGACACAAUAGAGAGUUCACAGGUAGAUGUAAUGUGACUCUUCACGUCGGGGUGUUGAGACUUCUGCAGCCCUGUGUAUUGUUGAUAAAGAUAUCCCAAACAAGAAGGUUAGUGUGAUUCAUUUCUCAGGAAUCUUGGAGGCCCUUGAAAAAUGUAUGAGUCCGAAGGUUGUUGCUAGAAGUAAAUCAAGUCACAUGACUUAAGACGUAAACCAGAGCCUCAAACCAGACUGCCUGUGCACCCUACCUUGGGAAGCAAACUGACAUUUAAUUUAAUUCAACAUCUUCACUGAGCCCUUCCCAUGAGCAGACACCAUAUUUAGUGCUACUGAUACAGCUGUGAACAAGACAGUCUCAGCCCCAAUCCUGCAGAGUUCACAGCCUAGUGAAAAAACUUUUAAAAUAAUAUGACAUAGGUGCACUAUGAUAAAAGUAGUAAAAGAAGGGCUUCAGAUUUGAGAACACCCUCCAAGUGAUGGCACAAUAAAAGAAGGAAUUACAGCCGGGCACAGUGGCUCAAGCCUGUAAUCCUAGCACUUUGGGAGGCCAACGUUGGUGGAUCACCUGAGGUCAGGAGUUCAAGACCAGCCUGGCCAUCAUGGUGAAACCCCAUCUUAAAAAAAAAAAAAAAAGAAGAAGGAAUUACUAAUAACACACAGGAGACCCUUCUACUCAUGCAUAAAGCUAGGAUUCUAAGAUGCUGAAAGUGUGUGUGUGGCUAAGACCUCCUGCAAAGCACAACUUGAAAGCAUACCUCCAAACGUCUGCAUUGUGCGUGUACUACAUGCCAUCCCACACCCUUGUUAGUAGAACAUGUGCUUUGAGUUGUUUUCACAGUAGUAAUUUUGGCUCAUACUCAGCUAUCUACACCCUCUAGACUGGUUUCAUUGGUGACCAAGGACUCACAUUUGUUAAACAGCUGGACAAGAGCAGAGAUGCCAAGUCUUCUAAUAAAACAAUUUAUCUCUCUUCAAAACUAAAGCAUAUUAGAAAUCAGACCUUCAUCCCCAGGUUCAUUAUCGUCCAUGUGGCUGCCAGUACCAUCCUAUCAGUUACUUCAUUAUGAAGACUUCGAAGCAGUUUAUUUAAGGUUCAUUGUUGCGGUCAUAAGCAGAAAGGAGCUAAGAAAAGAUGGCAGAGACGAUGGUCGGGAGAAGAUUCUUGACUUAAUUCUAACCUUUGUAUGUGGGAUAUUAUCCCACCAGAACUCUAUGGAUUUAGAGAAGAAGGCUGAGCUCAUUGAUAUGAAUCAAUUUAACCUACAAGCAAGGUGAAAUGCCUAAGUCUGAGCCUAUCUCCCACAAACA